rnacentral:rRNA from 1 species
GCUUGUCUCAAAGAUUAAGCCAUGCAUGUCUAAGUGUAAAUAAGUCUAUACUGUGAAACUGCGAAUGGCUCAUUAAAUCAGUUAUCGUUUAUUUGAUGAUCUCUUACUACUUGGAUAACCGUAGUAAUUCUAGAGCUAAUACAUGCACAAAAUCCCGACUUACGAAGGGAUGUAUUUAUUAGAUACAAACCAACAUCGUGGUGAUUCAUAAUAACUUCUCGGAUCGCAUAGCUUCGGCUGGCGACGUUUCAUUCAAAUUUCUGCCCUAUCAACUUUCGAUGGUAAGGUAUUGGCUUACCAUGGUUACAACGGGUAACGGAGAAUUAGGGUUCGAUUCCGGAGAGGGAGCCUGAGAAACGGCUACCACUUCCAAGGAAGGCAGCAGG